UACGUAGGGUGCGAGCGUUGUCCGGAAUUAUUGGGCGUAAAGAGCUUGUAGGCGGUUUGUCGCGUCUGCUGUGAAAAUCCGGGGCUCAACCCCGGACUUGCAGUGGGUACGGGCAGACUAGAGUGUGGUAGGGGAGACUGGAAUUCCUGGUGUAGCGGUGAAAUGGCGCAGAUAUCAGGAGGAACACCGGUGGGCGAAGGCGGGG
rnacentral:rRNA from 1 species